UUUCAAUUCUUGAACCAUAAUCAUACAAUCCAUUCUUCACUUUGUCAGCGUACUUUAUUGAUGCUGUGCUGAUCAUUGUCGGGUGGUACAAGU
rfam:Nicotiana attenuata strain TT chromosome 9, whole genome shotgun sequence.